CCGAUGUCUCCUUCAUCCAAUGCGAAGCAAAGUAGCAGCAGCUACCACCGUUGUCUGACCACCCCGUAUCAAUCCUGCAGAGAACAGCAGUUUCAAUGGCAUCUGCGCGGCCAGGCACUACUGGAUACAUGAUUGAGACAGCGGACAGAGGAGCCAAUGCUUACACAGAAGGUUCAUAUUCCACGUCUGGAACAUACGCCCAAGAGGGCAAAAACCAACCAGGAAACAGGCUGGCCAGGGCAGGUGCCUUUGCAGAAGCCGGUGUAGGCUUGGCCAGAGCUGAGUACAGCGUCUUUGAAGCAGAAGCCAGAGGUCCCAGCGCCUCAGCUGCUGCAGGAGCCGAUGCGACAGGAGUACGUGCAAUGGCUGGAGCGAGUGUUGGAAGCGUUUCUGCCGCUGCAGGUCCCGUUGCUGCAAAGCUAAGCCUCGGAGUGGAAACUGGGGUAGCCGCAGGUGCGGACGGAGUGGAAGUGAAGCUCUUGGGGACAGGCCUCAGAAUUGGACCGAAACCGAUGAUUAGCAUCCUUGGAUCUGAACUUGAAUGCGUUAUCAUGUGAAGCUUAUUGGUAGGGAAUUGACUUCCCCGUCGUAACUGGAGGGUUAUUUACGAGUUUCAGUGAAUCGUGUUUGCUUAAACCAUUCGUGAACCGUAUAGCAGAUAACAAACAGGAAAUAUGAGUGAGUCAGGACGGGAUCCUCUGGUUGGCCAGCAACAAACCGUUCGCCAACCGUUCUCAGUGAAAACGAUUCAGUAAUACUCCCUCUUAAGAACAUUCCGUAGCGGUUUUAGAUAAUUCUGUAAUUUCCUUUUUCUUAUCGUUUUGUGUUCUCAACCUAUUCUGUAAGUUGAUCUAAUGAAAAUACAGGUGAUGAUCUCCAAUUGAUGUCCAAAACUUUACAAUAAACCAGUGCUGUACCCGC